rnacentral:rRNA from 1 species
UACGAAGGGGGGCUAGCGUUGUUCGGAAUUACUGGGCGUAAAGCGCGCGCAGGCGGUCUUCCAAGUCAGUGGUGAAAGCCCGGAGCUCGACUCCGGAACUGCCAUUGAAACUGUAAGACUUGAGGAUGAGAGAGGUGAGUGGAAUUCCCAGUGUAGAGGUGAAAUUCGUAGAUAUUGGGAAGAACACCGGUGGCGAAGGCGGCUCACUGGCUCAUAUCUGACGCUCAGGCGCGACAGCGUGGGGAUCAAACAGG